rnacentral:sRNA from 1 species
GCCAGGCAUGGUGGCGCCUGCCUGUAAUCCCAACCACUCUGGAGGCUGAAGCAGGAGGAUCACAAGUUCAAGGCCAGCCUGGGCAACUUAGCAAGACCCUGUCUCAA